rnacentral:rRNA from 1 species
CAAUAGCGAAUCUUAAUGUUGUUGCUAUUAAAAAGCUCGUAGUCGAAUUUCUGGCCGGGAAAAGCCGAUCUAACCGCGCUGCUCCUAGGUCAUCCGUCUUUGAGGGCGCGUGGGUAUUGAUUUAUCUGCCGUCGGAUCUGGCAUUUUACUUUGAAAAAUCAGAGUGUUUCAGGCAGGCUUUCGCUUGAAUACACCAGCAUGGAAUAAUGGAAUAGGGCUCGUCUUACUUCUUGGUUCGUUUGUACAAGACAAUAGAUUAAUUAAGGGACGAGUUGGGGGUCGGAUUCGUUACUGGACGAGCUAGAGGUGGAAAUUACUUACGAUUUGUUCUAA